GGUUUUCCACUUACAUAUUUAUAGUUUGUUGGGAUUACCUACCUUCAUCCAAUCCGUGACUCACCAUCUGAGGGCCAUCCAUGGAAAGCGCAGUGUAAACGAAUAGCCUGCUACCGUAUGUGAUCUAUUGUUAACGUAUCUUGUUAACGUAUUCAGAAAUGGAGGGCCUUGUCCCUGCUUUGCACCUAGUUUUGGGUCAUGCUGUGGCCGCGCUGGAAUGCGAAGACAGGAACGAUUUGCAUCAGAGCUUGCAAGAGUACAACAGUGCAUGGUGCGCCCUAUCAUAUGCACUAGAAGUGCAUGGCACCGCGAGCUGUGAUAGCGUUCCGACGCUGGUACGAGAAACUUGCGCUGUGCUGCUGGAAACUUAUUGCACACGGCACGAGGUGCGAUGCAUAUUCAGUAUGAAUUUGAAAUUAAUCUAAGGUUUUAAAUAUUCUCACAAGAUUAUCAUCCGCAGCUUCCGUGGCAGAGAAUGUUUUGUUAGCUGACUGUUCCAGUUCCCCUGCUGCGUGAACCUUUACUCAGCUUUUGCUAUAUGCAAUAUCCUUAAUAUUUUCUCAUAAAUACACAUAUUGUGAAUUUACGAAAGCUAGUGCAGAGGGGCGGCAAAGCUUUGCUGUUGUGGUCAUGCAGGCUAUCCGCGAAAGUCUGGCGGCGGACAGCGCGGAAGGACCCCCUGUCGAUCUGGGUCGGUCGCCCCAAGCCACAUCCCUGACCGCAUGUUCUUCAGGCGAGUCCUUGUAAACGUAGGAUUUAAUUUACAAAACGUUUUGGUCUUACGAGGCCAUUAAUUGACUGCCGCCGUAUGUGAAGCGUGCCUCACAUCCCACUUUGGAACCUCACCCUCGGCCAUUAAAAGCUUCUUCAGCAGAUGCAUUGAGUUUAUUUUGCCCACAACACAUGAUAUGGAAUUGAACUCUGCCCACGGAGUUUGGAUACUGGGUGCUUAAAC
rnacentral:lncRNA from 1 species